CUGGCCGGCUGCUGGCCCGCGUGGGUGGGAGGUCCGCGCUGUGACCCGGCACGGGGCGGGCGCAGGGCAGCCUGGAAAUCCAGCGCCCAGAUCCUAAUUGAAGACGUGGAACGGGACUCAGGCGCCAUUUCUCCUCUGAAUGUGGCAACUCUGAUCGAUCCCGUGGGUUUACUUUUCCACCUACCGGCUCUUUCCCUGUGCGUUUGCUCUCCCGAAGCAUUUGGGCCCAUCCCUUCGAAGACUCUACUGGAAACUACUCAAGAAGGAAGACCCACCAUGAAUGUUACCACCAUCCUAUGCUGGGAGCUUGGACUGAGUAAGAAGGAGGAAAGAAGCUAAGCCCUACUGUUUGUCAUUCUCUAUUUCUUGGUUGAGAUGCAAGGUCACCGGCUGCCUUGCACUCCCCAUGUCAAGCCUUCCUUGAAGGAAUGGAGACAUUCCUUCAAACCACGAGCCAAAAUGAACCCUUGCUUCCUUAAUAUUCUUUGUUGUUAUGUGUGUGUGUGUGUGUGUGUGUGUGUGUGUGUGUGUGUGUUUUGUUUUGUUAUUUCAUCACAGCAAGGAGACAUAUAACCAACACAAGUAGAUGUUCACUAGACACAGUGGUGGGAAGGUAGGAGUUUCGAACAGAACAAACCCUGACCAGAACUGUCUCUCAGGACAAGCUGCUUUCACCUUCCACUUCUCCAAGGAAUCGGGGGACAGAAGGGCAGAGUGGGGUUGCCUUCACAGUCUACUUCCUUGAUCUGGAACAUUCUGCUCACAGCUACUGAAAUCCCCAUUGCAACCAUCUAAUAACAACCUGCUCUCUGGGCUGAAGAAAUGGUUCAGCGGUUAAGAGCACUGGCUGUUCUUCUUUAGAACCUGGGUUCAAUUCCCAGCAUCCACACGGCAGCUCAUACCUGUUUGUAACUCUAAGAUCUGAUACCCUCACACAGACAUACAUGCAGGCAAAAUACCAAUGCAAG
rnacentral:lncRNA from 1 species